rnacentral:rRNA from 1 species
AGGAGAGUUUGAUCCUGGCUUAGGAUUAGAUACCCUGGUAGUCCAUAAUUUGGCGUAGAGUUUGAUCCUGGCUCAGAAUGAACGCUGGCGGCGGGUCUUAAGCAUGCAAGUCGGACGGCAAGAAAGUGCUUGCACUUUCCUAGAGUGGCGGACUGGUGAGGAACACGUUGGUGACGUACCCUUUGGAUGGGGAUAGCCGGUAGAAAUACCGGGUAAUACCGAAUAAGGUCGGUGGUCUUGGAAGCCACCGAGGAAAGCGGCUUUGGCCGCGCCGAAGGAACGGCCUGCGUCCCAUCAGCUUGUUGGCGGGGUAAAAGCCCACCAAGGCAAUGACGGGUAUCUGGCCUGAGAGGGUGAGCAGACACAUUGGGACUGAGAUACGGCCCAGACUCCUACGGGAGGCAGCAGCUAAGAAUAUUCCACAAUGCACGAAAGUGUGACGGAGCGACGCCGCGUGGACGAUGAAGGCCGGAAGGUUGUAAAGUCCUUUUUAAUAUGAGGAAUAAGUAGGGUGAGAGAAACGCCUUAUGGUGACUGUAGUAUUAGAAUAAGGGGCGGCUAAUUACGUGCCAGCAGCCGCGGUAACACGUAAGCCCCGAGCGUUGUUCGGAAUUAUUGGGCGUAAAGGGCAUGUAGGCGGUUUUGCAAGUCUGGUGUGAAAGGCAGGAGCUCAACUCCUGGACUGCGCUGGAAACUGCAUGACUUGAGUUUCUGAGGGGCACUCGGAAUUCCUGGUGUAGGGGUGAAAUCUGUAGAUAUCAGGAAGAACACCGGUGGCGAAGGCGGGGUGCCAGCAGAAGACUGACGCUGAGGUGCGAAGGUGCGGGGAGCAAACAGGAUUAGAUACCCUGGUAGUCCCCU